AGAUUCUGGGAGUUCUGAUGAAUCUGCAGUCAGUGUGUCCCCAACAAAGUGUCAGAGCCUUUAACCUAGACCUUCCAAUGGAAACAAAACAAGACCAGUAUAGUCAUAAAAAGAACAUUUUCCACGAACUGUGUGUGGAUUCAUCCCCUAAACCAGAUGAUGAAGACUUGACUUACUACCAAGGUUACAGUAUCCUAUUAACCCAAAAUGAAAUCUCAAAUGUCUUCGAUUCUGCAUAAAACCCAUGCUGGCCCCUCAGUGGAAAAUAUCAACCAUGAAUUCUGGGUCUCUUCACUUCACCUUCACACCACCGAUUUCCGUCACACUGCCUGUGCUUAUUACCAUGUAUGUCUAGUAUUAGACUGGACUCCUACGGAAGAGGAACUCACAUUCAUUUCUGGGUCCCGAGAGCAAAACUCCCAAGUGUAAUUAAGGAAAGAACUCCAAUUGUUUCAAGUUCGGAAUUCCUGGUCCUUUCAAAAAUGGCAAUGUGUAUUCAAGCUCUGCUUGUUUUCUUGAUUCUGUUCUCUCCCUUACAAAUAGGCCAGGAAGGCAAAAAUGUCUAGAGAUUACUCCCCCAUGAUAAUAUCUGCAAAUAAAACUUUUAGACCUAACUUUAUACAAAUAAA